UUGAAGAAAGUAGAUAAGGGCGUACGGGGAAUGCCUUGGUUCUCAGAGGCGAUGAAGGACGUGCUAAGCUGCGAUAAGCUACGGGAAGCCGCACAGAGGCGUUAAUCCGUAGAUUUCCGAAUGGGGAAACCCGGCUGGUUGAAGGCCAGUCACCGAAAGGAGCAAACCCGGGGAACUGAAACAUCUAAGUACCCGGAGGAAGAGAAAACAAUAGUGAUUCCGUAAGUAGUGGCGAGCGAACGCGGAACAGCCCAAACCCUGAUNGUUACGGCGGUUGGGGGGUUGUAGGACUACAAUGUGGAUUAUAAAAACGAAGUAGAACGAUUUGGGAAAGUCGACCAUAGAGGGUGAAAGUCCCGUAUACGUAAAGUUUUAUUACCUAGUAGUAUCCUGAGUAGGGCGGAACCGGAGAAAUUCCGUCUGAAUCUGCCAGCACCAUCUGGUAAGGCUAAAUACUCCUGAGAAACCGAUAGUGAACCAGUACCGUGAGGGAAAGGUGAAAAGUACCCUGAAUAAGGGGGUGAAAUAGUACCUGAAACCGUGCGCCUACAAACGGUCGGAGAUCCCUAGUGGAUUGACGGCGUGCCUUUUGCAUAAUGAGCCUACGAGUUAUCCUAAUUGGCAAGGUUAAGUGAUUAAGUCACGUAGCCGGAGCGAAAGCGAGUCUUAACAGGGCGUUCAGUCAGUUGGGGUAGACGCGAAACUUGGUGAUCUACCCAUGGCCAGGGUGAAGUGUAGGUAACACUACAUGGAGGCCCGAACCAGUUCACGUUGAAAAGUGUUUGGAUGAGCUGUGGGUAGGGGUGAAAGGCCAAUCAAACUGAGAAAUAGCUCGUACUCCCCGAAAUGUUUUUAGGAACAGCGUGGGAAUUAGUUUAUCAGAGGUAGAGCUACCGAUUGGACUAGGGGGAGUCACAUCCUACCAAAUCCAGACG
rnacentral:rRNA from 1 species